rnacentral:rRNA from 1 species
AAAGGUCAAGUUAAUAAGGGCAAAGGGUGGAUGCCUUGGCACUAGGAGCCGAAGAAGGACGUGGUAAGCUGCGAAAAGUCUCGGGGAGCUGCAAGCAAGCAUUGAUCCGGGAAUGUCCGAAUGGGGAAACCCACUUGGAGUAAUGUCCAAGUAUCUAGUACUGAAUUCAUAGGUACUAGAAGGUAGACCGAGGGAACUGAAACAUCUAAGUACCUCGAGGAAGAGAAAGAAAAAUCGAUUCCCUCAGUAGCGGCGAGCGAAAGGGGAAGAGCCCAAACCUACGACAAUUGUUGUAGGGGUUGAGGAGAUGGUCACAAAGAAAGAGGAACUUGUAGAAGAAGAGAGUUGGAAAGCUCCACCAGAGAGGGUAAAAGUCCCGUACUUGAAACGAAAGAAACUUUCGACCAUGAUCCAGAGUACCACGGGACACGUGAAACCCUGUGGGAAGCAGGGGGGACCACCCCCCAAGGCUAAAUACUACCUAGUGACCGAUAGCGCAUAGUACCGUGAGGGAAAGGUGAAAAGAACCCCGGGAGGGGAGUGAAAAAGAACCUGAAACCUUUUGCCUACAAGCUGUGGAAGCGCUUUAUACGCGUGACCGCGUACUUUUUGUAGAACGGGCCAACGAGUUAUGGUAUGUAGCAAGGUUAAGGACUGAAGGUCUGGAGCCGAAGGGAAACCGAGUCUUAAUAGGGCGAUUAGUUACAUGCUAUAGACCCGAAACCGUGCGAUCUACCCAUGGGCAGGAUGAAGCGGAAGUAAAAUUUCGUGGAGGUCCGAACCAGUUGACGUUGAAAAGUCAUUGGAUGACCUGUGGGUAGCGGAGAAAUUCCAAUCGAGCUCGGAGAUAGCUGGUUCUCGCCGAAAUAGCUUUAGGGCUAGCCUUGGGAAAAGAGUGACGGAGGUAGAGCACUGAAUGGUCUAGGGGCCUUCACCGGUUACCAAAACCUAUCAAACUCCGAAUGCCGUUAACUUAUAACCAGGAGUCAGACUACGAGUGAUAAGAUCCGUAGUCAAGAGGGAAAGAACCCAGAUCAUCAGCUAAGGUCCCCAAGUAUACGUUAAGUGGAAAAGGAUGUGGAGUUGCACAGACAACCAGGAUGUUGGCUUAGAAGCAGCCACUCAUUUAAAGAGUGCGUAAUAGCUCACUGGUCGAGUGAUUCUGCGCCGAAAAUGUCCGGGGCUCAAACGUAUCACCGAAGCUAUGGAUGCUGACGUAAUCAUUAGUACUUUCAAACGUAUCUAUGAGGGUAGUAAUGAUUACGUCAGCGUGGUAGGCGAGCAUUCUAUGUGGGUAGAAGCUGUACCGUAAGGAGCAGUGGACUGCAUAGAAGAGAGAAUGUUGGCAUGAGUAACGAGAGGUGAGUGAGAAUCUCACCCGUCGAAAACCUAAGGUUUCCUGAGGAAGGUUCGUCCACUCAGGGUAAGUCGGGGCCUAAGCCGAGGCAGAAAUGCGUAGGCGAUGGACAACAGGUUGAAAUUCCUGUACCACCUAAAUUCGUCUGAGAGACGGGGUGACACAGAAGGAUAGGUCUAGCCCACCGUUGGUUGAGUGGGUCUAAGCCAGUAGGGAGCUAAGGCAGGCAAAUCCGCCAUAGUAUAAUCCUGAGAGGUGAUGGGGAGCGAAAAAUAAGUAGCGAAGAGAUUGAUUCCACACUGUCGAGAAAAGCCUCUAUCGAGAAUGCUAGGUGCCCGUACCGCAAACCGACACAGGUAGGUGAGGAGAGAAUCCUAAGACGAGCGGGAGAACCAUUGUUAAGGAACUCGGCAAAAUGACCCCGUAACUUCGGGAGAAGGGGUGCCGAAGGGUGUGAAGGCUAUACGCCGUAAGCAUCAAUCGGUCGCAGAGAACAGGCCCAAGCGACUGUUUAGCAAAAACAUAGGUCUCUGCAAAGUCGAAAGACGAAGUAUAGGGGCUGACGCCUGCCCGGUGCUGGAAGGUUAAGGGGAAGUGUAAAUCGUAAGAUGAAGCACAGAACUUAAGCCCCAGUAAACGGCGGCCGUAACUAUAACGGUCCUAAGGUAGCGAAAUUCCUUGUCGGGUAAGUUCCGACCCGCACGAAAGGCGUAACGAUUUGGGCGCUGUCUCAACAAUGGACCCGGUGAAAUUGUAAUACCAGUGAAGAUGCUGGUUACCUGCGACAGGACGGAAAGACCCCGUGGAGCUUUACUGUAGCUUGACAUUGGAUUUUGGUACUACAUGUACAGGAUAGGUGGGAGACAGAGAACCUAGGACGCCAGUUUUGGGGGAGUCGACGUUGGGAUACCACUCUUGUAGUACUGAAGUUCUAACCAUGAACCGUGAAGCCGGUUUUGGGACACUGUCAGGUGGGCAGUUUGACUGGGGCGGUCGCCUCCUAAAGAGUAACGGAGGCGCCCAAAGGUUCCCUCAGCACGGUCGGAAAUCGUGCAAAGAGUGUAAAGGCAAAAGGGAGCUUGAUUGCGAGACUUACAAGUCGAGCAAGGACGAAAGUCGGGCUUAGUGAUCCGGUGGUACCGAGUGGAAGGGCCAUCGCUCAACGGAUAAAAGCUACCCCGGGGAUAACAGGCUUAUCUCCCCCAAGAGUCCACAUCGACGGGGAGGUUUGGCACCUCGAUGUCGGCUCAUCACAUCCUGGGGCUGUAGUAGGUCCCAAGGGUUGGGCUGUUCGCCCAUUAAAGUGGUACGCGAGCUGGGUUCAGAACGUCGUGAGACAGUUCGGUCCCUAUCCGUCGCAGGCGCAGGAAAUUUGAGAGGAGCUGUCCUUAGUACGAGAGGACCGGGAUGGACGUACCUAUGGUGUACCAGUUGUUCUGCCAAGAGCACCGCUGGGUAGCUAUGUACGGAAGGGAUAAGUGCUGAAGGCAUCUAAGCACGAAGCCCCCCUCAAGAUAAGAUUUCCCAUUCCGCAAGGAAGUAAGACCCCAGGAAGACUACCUGGUAGAUAGGUCGGAGGUGUAAGUGCAGCAAUGUAUUAAGCUGACCGAUACUAAUAGGUCGAGGACUUGACCAA